GGAGAGGUGGCCGAGUGGUUGAAGGCACUCCCCUGCUAAGGGAGUAUAGAAAAAAUCUAUCGAGGGUUCGAAACCCUCUCUCUCCA
rnacentral:tRNA from 1 species